rnacentral:rRNA from 1 species
AGUGCACAUGGUGGAUGCCUUGGCAGUCAGAGGCGAUGAAAGACGUGAUAGCCUGCGAUAAGCGUCGGUGAGGUGGCAAUAUCCUGUGACCCGGCGAUUUCUGAAUGGGGAAACCCAACCAACACAAGUUGGUUAUUACAUAGUUUACUGUGUAAGGCAAACCGGGAGAAGUGAAACAUCUCAGUACCCCGAGGAAAAGACAUCAAAUGAGAUUCCGUAAGUAGCGGCGAGCGAACACGGAGGAGCCGAUCAAUUUUACAGUAGCAAAAUGGCGUGGGAAAGCCAACCAUAGUAGGUGAUAGUCCUGUAUGCGAAACUGUUUAAGCGACAUAUUAAGUAGGGCGGAACACGAGAAAUUCUGUCUGAAGAUGGGGGGACCAUCCUCCAAGGCUAAAUACUCCUGACUGACCGAUAGUGAACCAGUACCGUGAGGGAAAGGCGAAAAGAACCCCUGUUAGGGGAGUGAAAUAGAACCUGAAACCGUGUGCAUACAAGCAGUCGGAGCGGACUUGUUCCGUGACGGCGUACCUUUUGUAUAAUGGGUCAGCGACUUAUAUUCUGUAGCAAGGUUAACCGAAUAGGGGAGCCGUAGGGAAACCGAGUCUUAAUAGGGCGAAUGAGUUGCAGGGUAUAGACCCGAAACCGAGUGAUCUAUCCAUGAGCAGGUUGAAAGUGCCGUAACAGGCACCGGAGGACCGAACCCACUGUCGUUGAAAAGCCAGGGGAUGACUUGUGGAUAGGGGUGAAAGGCUAAUCAAACUCGGUGAUAGCUGGUUCUCCCCGAAAGCUAUUUAGGUAGCGCCUCGGACGAACACCAUUGGGGGUAGAGCACUGUUUCGGCUAGGGGGUCAUCCCGACUUACCAAACCGAUGCAAACUCCGAAUACCGAUGAGUGAUAUCCGGGAGACAGACGGCGGGUGCUAACGUCCGUCGUCAAGAGGGAAACAACCCAGACCGCCAGCUAAGGCCCCAAAUUCCUAGUUAAGUGGGAAACGAUGUGGGAAGGCACAGACAGCUAGGAGGUUGGCUUAGAAGCAGCCACCCUUUAAAGAAAGCGUAAUAGCUCACUAGUCGAGUCGGCCUGCGCGGAAGAUGUAACGGGGCUCAAACUAGGAGCCGAAGCUGCGGAUUUAAUUGUUUCAAUUAAGUGGUAGGGGAGCGUUGUGUAAGCCUGUGAAGGUGUAUCGUAAGGUAUGCUGGAGGUAUCACAAGAGCGAAUGCUGACGUGAGUAACGACAAAACGGGUGAAAAGCCCGUUCGCCGGAAGACCAAGGGUUCCAGUCCAACGUUAAUCGGGGCUGGGUGAGUCGACCCCUAAGGCGAGGCCGAAAGGCGUAGUCGAUGGGAAAUCGGUUAAUAUUCCGAUACUUGUUUAUGAUGCGAUGGAGGGACGGAGAAGGUUAUGUCAGCCUGGCGAUGGUUGUCCAGGUGGAAGGAUGUAGUUAGACUGAGUAGGCAAAUCCGCUCGGUUAUUAAUGAGAUCUGAUAGCAAGCCAGUUUACUGGCGAAGUGGCAAAUACCCUGCUUCCAGGAAAAGCUUCUAAGCGAUAGUCAUAAACGAAUCGUACCCGAAACCGACACAGGUGGUCAGGUAGAGAAUACCAAGGCGCUUGAGAGAACUCUGCUGAAGGAACUAGGCAAAAUGGUACCGUAACUUCGGGAGAAGGUACGCUGCCGAUGGUGAUGAAACUUGCUUUCUGAGCUGUUGGCAGUCGCAGAUACCAGGCUGCUGCAACUGUUUAUUAAAAACACAGCACUCUGCAAACACGAAAGUGGACGUAUAGGGUGUGAUGCCUGCCCGGUGCUGGAAGGUUAAUUGAUGGGGUUAGCGUAAGCGAAGCUCUUGAUCGAAGCCCCAGUAAACGGCGGCCGUAACUAUAACGGUCCUAAGGUAGCGAAAUUCCUUGUCGGGUAAGUUCCGACCUGCACGAAUGGCAUAAUGAUGGCAGCGCUGUCUCCAGCAGAGACUCAGUGAAAUCGAAAUCGCAGUGAAGAUGCUGUGUACCCGCGGCUAGACGGAAAGACCCCGUGAACCUUUACUACAGCUUUACAUUGAACUUUGACCUAACUUGUGUAGGAUAGGUGGGAGGCUUUGAAGCAGAUACGCCAGUAUUUGUGGAGCCAACCUUGAAAUACCACCCUGGUUAUGUUGGGGUUCUAACUUAGGAUUAACAAAUCCAAGGACAAUGUAUGGUGGGUAGUUUGACUGGGGCGGUCUCCUCCUAAAGAGUAACGGAGGAGUACGAAGGUGCGCUCAGAACGGUCGGAAAUCGUUCAAAGAGUAUAAAGGCAAAAGCGCGCUUAACUGCGAGACCCACAAGUCGAGCAGGUACGAAAGUAGGUCUUAGUGAUCCGGUGGUUCUGUAUGGAAGGGCCAUCGCUCAACGGAUAAAAGGUACUCUGGGGAUAACAGGCUGAUACCGCCCAAGAGUUCAUAUCGACGGCGGUGUUUGGCACCUCGAUGUCGGCUCAUCUCAUCCUGGGGCUGAAGCAGGUCCCAAGGGUAUGGCUGUUCGCCAUUUAAAGAGGUACGCGAGCUGGGUUUAGAACGUCGUGAGACAGUUCGGUCCCUAUCUACCGUGGGCGUUGGAAAUUUGAGAGGAUCUGCUCCUAGUACGAGAGGACCAGAGUGGACGAACCUCUGGUGUUUCGGUUGUCACGCCAGUGGCAUUGCCGAGUAGCUACGUUCGGAUGGGAUAACCGCUGAAAGCAUCUAAGCGGGAAGCCCACCUCAAGAUAAGAUUUCCCUAAGAGCCGUUGU